CCUGAAUGCAUUAGCUAAACACUGGAAUCUCUCUUUCUUAUGCUGCAGAAGGGCUGCAGAGCUGCUUUGCAAAUACUGCACAGCCCAAAGCACAGAAUGAAUAUUAGUGGGAUCUUAUCCAGCAUUUUUUGCAAGCUUGUGUGUUUACGUUGGCAGGAAAAGGAAAGGAUCUGCCAAGUGAAGGAUUAGCUAGCCCAAGCCUCCCUCUAACCCCAUCCCAGCCCUUCCAGGGAAGUGCUCUGUGCAGGGAACUCUUCUGAAGCAGCUUUUCCACAAGGAGAAAUAUGUCACUUCACACAGCUUCUGGCAUCUCAGCCCUGGAGCAGUAGGAUCCCCCAGGCCCUCCUGUAUGAGGCCAGGAGAUGGGGACAGAAAGAAGGGAAUAUGGCUCGUGGCUCCAGUCAGAUGCUACAAGAACUAAACAUAUGGAUUAUUCCUAGCAGCAGCUUUAUUUUUCCUUCUCUUCAAACAAACUUCAGCCUUCAAACUGGCAUUUGUUUUCUGGGAGCAGUAACAAAAGCUAAAUCUGUUUUGUACAAAUGCUUAUGAAAAACCAGAC
rnacentral:lncRNA from 1 species